UACGUAGGGCGCAAGCGUUAUCCGGAAUUAUUGGGCGUAAAGAGCUCGUAGGCGGUUUGUUGCGUCGGCUGUGAAAUCCCGAGGCUCAACCUCGGGUCUGCAGUCGAUACGAGCAAACUAGAGUGUUGCAGGGGAGACUGGAAUUCCUGGUGUAGCGGUGAAAUGCGCAGAUAUCAGGAGGAAUACCAGCGGCGAAGGCGGCGCUCUGGGCCGAAAAUUGACGCUGAGGAGCGAAAGCCGUGGGGAGCAAACAGG
rnacentral:rRNA from 1 species